GGGCGUAAAGCGCGCGCAGGUGGUUUCUUAAGUCUGAUGUGAAAGCCCAGCCCUCAACCGGGGAGGGGCAUUGGAAACUGGGAAACUUGAGUGCCGAAGAGGAAGGUGGAAUUCCCUGUGUAGCGGUGAAAUGCUUACAUAUAUGGAGGAACACCAGUGGCGAAGGCGACCUUCUGGUCUGUCACUGACACUGAGGCGCGAAAGCGUGGGGA
rnacentral:rRNA from 1 species